GACAUCCAGCGAACUUUCCAGAGAUGGAUUGGUGCCUUCGGGAACGCUGAGACAGGUGCUGCAUGGCUGUCGUCAGCUCGUGUUGUGAAAUGUUGGGUUAAGUCCCGNAACGAGCGCAACCCUUAUCCUUUGUUGCCAGCGAUUCGGUCGGGAACUCAAAGGAGACUGCCGGUGAUAAACCGGAGGAAGGUGGGGAUGACGUCAAGUCAUCAUGGCCCUUACGAGUAGGGCUACACACGUGCUACAAUGGCGCAUACAAAGAGAAGCGACCUCGCGAGAGCAAGCGGACCUCAUAAAGUGCGUCGUAGUCCGGAUCGGAGUCUGCAACUCGACUCCGUGAAGUCGGAAUCGCUAGUAAUCGUGGAUCAGAAUGCCACGGUGAAUACGUUCCCGGGCCUUGUACACACCGCCCGUCACACCAUGGGAGUGGGUUGCAAAAGAAGUAGGUAGCUUAACCUUCGGGAGGGCGCUUACCACUUUGUGAUUCAUGACUGGGGUGAAGUCGUAACAAGGUAAGCGUAGCGAG
rnacentral:rRNA from 1 species